GCUCCAAUAGCGUAUAUUAAAGUUGUUGCAGUUAAAAAGCUCGUAGUUGGACUUCUGGCGUCAGUGCCGGUCACUCACGGCAGUACUGGGCAUCUGUAGCCAUCCUUGUGGAGAACGCUUGGCAUUAACUUGCUCGAGUGGGAUCUGCAUCAUUUACUGUGAAAAAAUUAGAGUGUUUAAAGCAGGCAAUUGCUUGAAUA
rnacentral:rRNA from 1 species